UAGGGAAUCUUCCGCAAUGGACGCAAGUCUGACGGAGCAACGCCGCGCGAGUGAAGAAGGAUUUCGGUUCGUAAAACUCUGUUGUUAGAGAAGAACAGCGCAUAGAGUAACUGUUAUGCGUGUGACGGUAUCUAACCAGAAAGCCACGGCUAACUACGUGCCAGCAGCCGCGGUAAUACGUAGGUGGCAAGCGUUGUCCGGAUUUAUUGGGCGUAAAGCGAGCGCAGGCGGUCAAUUAAGUCUGAUGUGAAAGCCCCCGGCUCAACCGGGGAGGGUCAUUGGAAACUGGUUGGCUUGAGUGCAGAAGAGGAGAGUGGAAUUCCAUGUGUAGCGGUGAAAUGCGUAGAUAUAUGGAGGAACACCAGUGGCGAAGGCGACUCUCUGGUCUGUAACUGACGCUGAGGCUCGAAAGCGUGGGUAGCAAACAGG
rnacentral:rRNA from 1 species